UUCCUCCUUCCCGACCCCUUUUCCACAGCAACACGGCAAACACCCUUUCACAGCACCACCGCCGACCCACGUUCACCUUCACCACCAAUCACAAACAUCGAUCCAAUCACCAGACACACCCUCGCACCAACAUGCCCCAUCACCUGCGUAUGGCGAGGCUGCUGCGUUUGGAUUGAACAUCCAAUGCUAGAGAUCUAAAGGAUUUGGCUUGCUCUCAAAUCCGGUACUACAGGCUAUUCUGUUCAGCGUUCCAUACGGCCUUGGUAUCGGCCAAACGCUCCAUAUUGAGUUCUGUUGCCACUGAAGUUGCCUCUGUUGAAGAUCUAAGAAUUAUGUGAUGUAGAGGUGGUCUGUGAAUGUAAUGUUUAUGACGACAAUGGGCAUGAAGAUCACGCUGUUGAUUAUGUUUGUAUUCAAUGUAGAAUUUAAGAUGAUCAGAGGAUGGUCCUUAAAUCACUUUGUGACAUGAAGGCAACUUUGGUGGGGUCACUGUGUCCCUGCAUGGUAUGUCAUGCUGGAGGAUGAUUGGCUGAAGGAGUUUGGUGCUUGCAAUGAACACUGGGUGGUUGCAAGAAAUGAGGAUGAGUCUCAAGUGGAGGCUAGUUGAAUAUGUAAUGGGAAGAAGAUUCAUUUAAGUCCAGAUCCUGACAUGCUUGAUACAUGGUUUUCUUCUGGUCCCUUUCCAUUAACUGUUUUGGGCUGACCUGACAAUACAGAAGAUCUAAAGACAUUUUAUGCAACUUCGGUUUUGGAAACUGGCCAUGAUAUUCACUUUUUAUGGGUUGCUCGCAUGGUAAUGCUAGGAAUGAAGUUGGGUGGUGAUGUACCUUUUAGAAAGGAUUUAUUCAGCUGGCGAUGCUCCUUUGCUCUAGCUCAAGUUGGAUCUUCUCCCCAUAAGAACUGGUGGAGGCAGAGCCACAGAGGUUGUGGUUUCAAGAGAUACUAUGUGACGUGUAAAUUACCAAUAAAAAGAUAGGUAUCUAUAUGUUCAGAUAAAGGAUGAAUGGUUUCUUGUCAAUAUUGAGCAGGAAGGGAUGCAUAUCCACAAGAUAUGACCUAGGGCAUUAUUUGUCUUCUGAAAUAGUGGCAGUGAAACCAGAAAAGGUCCUUAUGGACCUUUCACAUAACUCUUAUCUUCUGACCUGGUGUUCACUCUAUCAAUAAAAUGCAUACUUGAAUUUGUGCAAACUCUUUUAUUGUAGCCACUGGGAAACUUCUCAGACACAUUGUGGUGUGUUUAUUUUCCAUGACACCAGAAACAUUUGGGAGCUACAUCAUCAGAUGAUUGUAAAACAAAUAAAGAGCCUCUUUCCCCCUGAGUUUUCAGUUUAUAACUCAAGAAAUGGGGCCUAACUGCUUCUUCUUUCUUAUAUCAUAUCAUUAGCAGGGUUGAGGGUUAUGGUAAGGGAGUAUGAAUGCUCUUGCCCAAUUUCAGUCUGGUGGCCUUAACAAAUUUAUUUGAUAUAUAUGGUUGUGCUACAAGUACUAGUUAAAGCUAUUUGCAGAUAUGUAUACAUGCAUGUAUGUAUAUAGAUGCCAAUCCUCUUUGGAUCAAAUGUCAUCUCCUUCUGUAAACAAUAGCUGCAGGGUGAGUUUAUUAGUUCAAUCCCAUACAGAUGCAUAAGUUGUAUUAUUUCAACAACCAAAAUAAAGCCUUAGUCCAAAUGGGGCUGGCUAUGGAUUCUCAAUAGACCAAUAGGAGUCAAUUAUGCAUAAGUUACUAACUUAUAAAAAAAUGUAUUCGGUAUAUUCGAAAUUUUUUAUUAUUAUUUUCUAUGUAGUGUACAUAUUCCUGUGCAAAACUACUAUAUUAACUGAGGUGACGUGAUCUGAUUGAAGCACCUUAAACUCUAUGCAGGUUUAUUUGCAUCCCAUGAUAUGCACAUGGGCGCAAGAUGCUUAAGUCCUUGGGAAAUGUCAUUGAUCCGCUUGAAGUAAUAAAUGAGAUAUCCUUGGAAGGUCUUCAUAAGAGACUAGGGGAGGGUAACUUAGAUCCCAAGGAACUGACUGUUUCUGAAUGUGGUGCUGAUGCUCUCUGCUUUGCACUAAUUUCUUACACAGCUCAGUCUGAUAAAAUAAAUCUGGAUAUCCAAAGGGUGGUUGGGUAUUGUCAGUGGUGUAAUAAAUUGUGGAAUGUUGUAUGAUAUUCUAUGAGCAGGCUUGGGGAUGAUUAUGUUCCGCCCACAAAUGUAAAUCCAAAUGACUUGCUGUUUAGUUAUCAGUGGAUACUCUCAGUAUUAAACAAAGCUAUGUCCAAAAAAAUUAUGGAUUUGGAGUCAUAUGAAUUCUCAGAUGCAGCAAGUACUGUGCAUUCCUGGUGGCAAUGCUGUGUGAUAUUUGUAUUGAAGCAAUUAAGCCUUUCUUUGCUGGGAGUAAUCAAAAGUUUGAGUCUGAGAGGACACACUUUGGUUAUAUCUUGACAAUGGGUUGUGAUUGCUUCAUCCUUUUAUGCCAUAUGUUACAGAAAAAAUAUGGCAGCGGCUUUCUUCAUCAAGGGACCAUACAGCGAUAGAAUCAAUUAUGAUAUGCAAGUACCCAUCAAUUUUAGAGGGCUGGACAAAUGAACAGUAGAAUAUGAGAUGGAUCUUGUAGAUUCUGCAGUGAAAUCUCUCAGGUCACUUGUAAAUGAAAGACGUGAAAGGCAACCAGCUUUUGUGCUUUGCAGAAAUAAAGCAUUUGCAAAGAUUAUUGACAGCCAUCAACGGGAAAUUAUUACUCUUGCCAAUUUGUCAACUUGAACGGUAUGUUGCAAAUGUUGCUCUUAAAGUGGCUCUCGUACAUUCAUGUUUGAGACAGUACUUAUCAAAAAAAUGAUACACACACAUUUCAGACAUUGCUUUCUUCUACAUAUUGAAGUUCUCAACAAUCAAGUAUAUGCAUGCAAAGCAGUUUGAUAUACCAUAAUGACAUGUUUUCUUUAAAAAAUUUUAGCGAUUUUUAAUCUGAUUUUCUUAGAGUAUCCAUACUAUGCCAAAAUCUUAGUGCUCUUUUAUAAAUUGGUUUUCAUUUUCCGGAAUUGAAAAAAAUAUAUACAAUUUUUUAUUUUGAUACUGAUUUUGGCUAGAGCAAGUGAAGCUAAUAUCUAAAAUUUAAUGUUCCUUCUGAGCCAAGUUCAGUCCAAGUAUUCAAUCCAUGGACAAGAUAAUGUUAUUUGAUUUUCUUUGCCUGUCUUUGUAUUGUAUGUUUUAUAUUAGUGAAGUCUAUGUAUUAAAAUGCUCCUGAGUAAUUAUUCUGCUACUGUAUCUCUUUAAAUUACUGAUGGAUUUUAAAUGGCACUUCCAAUUUAAAAAGUAGAAAAACGAUAAGAAAUGGUGUAAAAUUUGGGUGGUGUAAAAUUUGGGAAUGAUGUUGGGAAGGGCAUGAAACGCUUCAAAACAUUAAACAAAAGAUUAAGUAUCAAAGAAAGGCUUAGUUGCUGUUGUAUUUAGUAUCAAAGAAAGACAAAAUUCUACAUUCUUCAGGCCCAAAAAAAAAAAA